rnacentral:rRNA from 1 species
AGAAUUAACGCUGGCGGCGUGCCUAACACAUGCAAGUCGAACGAGAAAGUGGAGCAAUCCAUGAGUAAAGUGGCGCACGGGUGAGUAACACGUGACUAACCUACCCUUGAGUGGGGAAUAACUUCGGGAAACCGAGGCUAAUACCGCAUAACACCUACGGGUCAAAGGAGCAAUUCGCUUAAGGAGGGGGUCGCGGCAGAUUAGUUAGUUGGCGGGGUAAUGGCCCACCAAGACAGUGAUCUGUAUCCGGCCUGAGAGGGCGCACGGACACACUGGAACUGAAACACGGUCCAGACUCCUACGGGAGGCAGCAGUGGGGAAUUUGCGCAAUGGGGGAAACCCUGACGCAGCAACGCCGCGUGGAGGAUGAAGUCUCUUGGGACGUAAACUCCUUUCGAUCGGGACGAUAAUGACGGUACCGAGAGAAGAAGCCCCGGCUAACUUCGUGCCAGCAGCCGC